AAAAGCUAAAUAUUUUCAGCCUUAUACAUGUAUCAAAGACAAAAGGUUAUUUUUCAAAAACCAUACAAACAAAAGGCAUCUGUAAAGAGGUUUCAGGUCUACUGAGCCUGUAUGUUUUUUCAUAUGCUUAGAUGUAGGUUUUACCAAAGGCGUUAACUGAUGUAUUUCUUUGUAGCUGACACUUAUGUUUUUAGUUAAUAUGUAUAGAAGAAACUUGAGGUACAAUUUUGAUAAAAGGUCACUUUUGGCUGUGUUAACAGUUAAUAUAAAGUGAGUUCAAACCUGCCUCUUUCACUAGUAUAGUUAUAAAUCGGGCCUAAGCACACACACACACACAAAAAAAUAGAAUAAAUUUUUUAAAUCUGCUUGGUAGUAUAGGGGAAAACAGCAAAAUCUGUCUAGGAUUUGCUGAAAUUGAAUAGAACAAGCUGGCUUUGUACCUAAUGCCAGUCCAGGGCAAAUAAAUUUGACGAAGUUAUUUCUUACCUCAUAUAGGUUAAACUUAAGACUCCACAAGAAUUCCCUUGUUACAUCCUCUGUCACGGGUCAGGCAGGUAAUUUGAAAAGGGAGAAGAUAAAACUGAAAAAUUGGACAAUUUCUAUGUGUAAACUCAGCAUAAAGGUGUGCACUCACUAAAAUUCUUAAGACUUUUUAACCCUUGUUGAACUUGUAGCAAGCACUUGCUGAACGGGAGUAUGAGUUGACAAAGCCCCUCUCUCCCCAGCUUCCAAUUCAUUAGUGCCAUUUGACUGAGCUACAGCUUUCUUUCCUUGUCUUCAUUUUCAUGAGUUUUAUGAAUUCCAAAAAAAGCCGAAACUGUUGAUACUUUAUUCUCCUGUUCGUUCUUCCCUUUGGACUGCUGGUUUUUUAGUAUCUUCAUGGCAAAGGGCUUAGCCAAGAAGGCUUUUUUCCUACCAAGGUAUGCAUGGAAAGAGACCAGAAAAAACACAAACAGCCACUUCUUUUAUUGUAGGUUCAAUUUUCAGGAAGCAUCUUUUGUUCAUACAGAUACUUAAGUUCCCUUUUUCCUUCAAUCUUACUGUAUCCCUCCUCCAGUUCUGUGGGAAUCAACUUACUAGGAUUUACCAGGUUGAAGACCAAUUUACAUUGGAUACCAAGGUGAUGACCACCAUUUCUAAUGGGUGGGAUAUCCAGGUCCUGUGAGUGUUUGCUCCUACUUAUCCUUUCUUUUCCUAGAAAUCAUUUUCACAAGAAUGUUUUGUCUCUAGUGCAGUUCAUCUUCCCUGGCACCAUAG